GAUGGUGACAGGUUGCAGAUGGCGACCUUGAUGUUUGAUUUCAUGAUCAGACGGGGUCUGAAAUCAUAUGUCACAGAUGGUGACAGGUCGCAGAUGGUGACCAAGGCAGGAAAUAGGUAAUCACGUCCUUGGUAGGACGAGUGAUUACGAUUUCAAUAGAGCUCUAGUCUGUCUGCCAUGAUAGCUUAUGGGAGUAACGGUCGAGGUUGCUGGAGACUCAUAGGGGUUAAUCCUGCAGGUCAGGAAAAUCGUGGCUGAAGCUGAGGUAGCUUGUUGGUAGCAGAACGGGUAGGAAGCAAAUUUUGUUGGCUUUGCCAGUGUAUGACUUCCGCUAUGUAGUAAGCUCUGAGGAGCAUUUACGUUUUAUUUUGUGAUGACAAUUUAAUUCGUAAAUUUGUGUAAUAUAUAACUCUGUGGAGCGAGUGUAUAUUAACUUGGAUUGGUUCAGGGCAUCAGUAUAUACUUGUUUUAAGGGAAAGAUGUUCCAGGUAUUUGUAUUGAUGACUGAACGUUCACGCAUGUAUAAUUAUGGGAUUAUAUAUAUCGAUUUUUAUUUUUGUUAAAAA